GAACCCUAAAUGAUAGGGUUUUCUCAUUUAUGCUCUCCUUGUUAUCAUUGCCUCUGCGGAGAUAUUCUCUCUUGUGCUCCACAACUGUAGAUUCUUCCACCUUUUGUUAUGGGGGAUUAACAUUCCCCACCUUGUUGUCUGCGUUUGAUAUCAACUUUCAAAGGAUCCAAAAUAGAGUAGAAAAUCCUACAAUCAUCAGUAACAUUAUGUGUGAAAAAGAAUUCAGACUCUCUUGUUCUAGUCUGACCUCAAGUCUGGAAUCUUCUAUUUCAGAAGACAGUUGCAAAUCUUGGAUAACUACAAACGUUUAACUACUGAUGGACUUACGCCUCAUCCCGUACUACAUAAAACGUUUCGUCUUAUGCCCCCAUCUUUCAAAACUCUAGUUAUUGCCUCGUGAGAUAGAAGGUUCCAGACUUAAGUCCAGACUAGAACAAAGGAAACUAAAUUCUCUUCCACAUGUAAUUUUACUGAUAUCCUAUUAGAUCUUGAAAUUGAUGCAGAUAAGAUUAGUACAAUACAAAAAUAGCAUUUCAACAAUUGCAAUGAUGUCUCAAUCCUGAAUUAGUUGGGUUUCACGUGUAAAUUCUCAACAUCAAUUUUAUUUGUACAAUUAAACAAACUAGAUAUAUUGGUGGUUUUCAAUAUCGAUUAUGAUUUUCGGUCCAUUCCACAAUCAUGAAACUCUACUAACCAUGUAGACAUUGGAUAACCUAAUGAAAUACUUUUCGUGUUAGAAGAUAUUGAACUUAAUCACCGAUAAUUUUUAUCAAUUAAUAAAUAAAAUCCUUCGACGAAUCAAAAAAUAAAUCAAAAACUUUGUUUCAAUGACCUUAAUUUUGAUAUAUGAACUUCUUAGAGUCCUUCUAAUUGGCCAGGCACACACUUUUAUCCCACAUUGCUUAGAAAGAGAAAUUUAAUUUAACAAGUGAUAUAUGAAAUAGCCCGGUAUAACACAUGGAAACCCAUACCUUUCUCGGCCUUUUGGCUAAGAUCAAGUGUAGUAUCUGUUCUUAUCAGUUUAAUAUCUGAUAUGUGAGUCAUUGACUCACACGAUAUUAACUUUAUUUUUCUAGGGGGAAGGUUCAUCACGAUAGCUUGCUAUCGGGACCUUCAAGUGUCGUCUUGGUGUUGCACUGCUGCCUUGGCCUGGCUCACCCCACCAAUUCUACUUCAAAAAAACCUUUGAUUUCACAGCAUUACAUAAUUUUGGGCUAAGAGCUUUCUAUGUCAUUACAAGUUGAACAUUUUAAUUAAAAUCAGAAAUGAACUAAUAUUAGCUACUAACUUAUAAAGUAUUUAGAGUUAGACUAUCAACCUAGCAUUUGGCAUCUUUUUUUAUAGUAGUAUAUUGUACACUAUUGUACUAAAGAUAAAUAAAUGGUGAGUUUAUGA